UAGCGCAGUUGGUAGCGCAUCACCUUGCCAAGGUGAGGGUCGCGGGUUCGAAUCCCGUCA
rnacentral:tRNA from 1 species